AUUGAACGCUGGCGGCAUGCUUUACACAUGCGAGUCGAACGGCAGCGCGGGCUUCGGCCUGGCGGCGAGUGGCGAACGGGUGAGGAAUGCAUCGGAACGUGCCCAGUAGUGGGGGAUAGCCCGGCGAAAGCCGGAUUAAUACCGCAUACGACCUGAGGGUGAAAGCGGGGGACCGAAAGGCCUCGCGCUAUUGGAGCGGCCGAUGUCGGAUUAGCUAGUUGGUGGGGUAAAGGCUUACCAAGGCGACGAUCCGUAGCUGGUCUGAGAGGACGACCAGCCACACUGGGACUGAGACACGGCCCAGACUCCUACGGGAGGCAGCAGUGGGGAAUUUUGGACAAUGGGGGCAACCCUGAUCCAGCCAUGCCGCGUGCGGGAAGAAGGCCUUCGGGUUGUAAACCGCUUUUGUUCGGGAAGAAAUCCUCUGGGCUAAUACCCCGGGGGGAUGACGGUACCGGAAGAAUAAGCACCGGCUAACUACGUG
rnacentral:rRNA from 1 species